GACGAACGCUGGCGGCGUGCCUAAUACAUGCAAGUCGAGCGGAGUUGAAAAAAAGUUUACUUUUUUUCUUCUCAGCGGCGGACGGGUGAGUAACACGUGGGCAACCUGCCCUGUAGACUGGGAUAACUUCGGGAAACCGAAGCUAAUACCGGAUAAUCAUAGAAGUUGCAUAGCUUCUAUGUAAAAGUUGGGUUUACCUAACACUACAGGAUGGGCCCGCGUCGCAUUAGCUAGUUGGUAAGGUAACGGCUUACCAAGGCGACGAUGCGUAGCCGACCUGAGAGGGUGAUCGGCCACACUGGGACUGAGACACGGCCCAGACUCCUACGGGAGGCAGCAGUAGGGAAUCUUCCGCAAUGGACGAAAGUCUGACGGAGCAAACGCCGCGUGAGCGAUGAAGGCCUUCGGGUCGUAAAAGCUCUG
rnacentral:rRNA from 1 species